UAUCCACUCCUAGGUGUCUCUGCAAGGAGAGCUGAGUGGACGGAUUCGUCAGUGCGGCUGCGUCUUUUUGGAUGUUGGUAUCUUCCAUCAUAGGACUCGUCCAGUUUACUUCCCAGCUUAUUAGUGCGGUGGAUAUCUUCUAGCGCCAUCUAGUGGUUCUCUAGGAGAAGGCCUUUACAGCAAUAAUACCACAUUUAUUGGUUGAAUAUACCCACUAAGAUUGUGGCUGUUGUCCUUAUUUUGGGGGAAUUCUUUGGUGGACGAUCCUGGCGUAUGUUCUUAGGCUGUUCCUAUCCGUCCAUGUUUGGUCUCAUUUUUACAAGAAUACCAAUAAUACCCCAACUAGUUGCACAAUUGCUCUCUGGUGUAUGGUGAACGUUUUUGAGGUAGUAGGUAUCAGACCCCACCCAAUCUUGGGUGUGUCCUGAUUGACCACGGUUGUAUUGGGACGCAGUAUGUCAGCUUUUCUCGCUUCAAACUAAAUCAACACCGUUUAUCGGUGAGUAUAAUGGUUAUAAAUACAUGCACUAUCAG